rnacentral:rRNA from 1 species
AAGUCGAGGGGUAACGGAAGUAACUUGCUACUAUACGACGACCGGCGCACGGGUGAGUAACGCGUAUGUAAUCUGCCUUGUACAGAGGGAUAGCCCAGAGAAAUUUGGAUUAAUACCUCAUAGUAUUACUGAAUCGCAUGAUUCGGUAAUUAAAACUCCGGCGGUACAAGAUGAACAUGCGUGAAAUAACCUAUUGGGUAAGGUAACGGUUUACCAAGGCAACAAUGUCUACGGGUUCUGAAAGGAUGAUCCCCCACACUGGUACUGAAACACGGACCAAACUCCUACGGAAGGCAGCAGUGAGGAAUAUGGGUCAAUGGACGCAAGUCUGAACCAGCCAUCCCGCGUGAAGGAUGACUGCCCUAUGGGUUGUAAACUUCUUUUAUAUGCAAAUAAACCUACUUUCGUGAAAGUAGCUGAAGGUAGCAUAUGAAUAAACACCGGCUAACUCCGUGCCAGCAGCCGCGGUAAUACGGAGGGUGUAAGCGUUAUCCGGAUUUAUUGGGUGUAAAGGGUACG